rnacentral:rRNA from 1 species
ACUAAAUAGAUACCCGGGUAGUCCACGCUGUAAACGAUGAUUACUCGAUGUUGGCGAUACACAGUCAGCGUCUGAGCGAAAGCAAUAAGUAAUCCACCUGGGGAGUACGAUCGCAAGAUUGAAACUCAAAGGAAUUGACGGGGGCCCGCACAAGCGGAGGAGCAUGUGGUUUAAUUCGAUGAUACGCGAGGAACCUUACCUGGGCUCGAACGUAAGAUGACUGUAGGUGAAAGCUUACAUCUCUUCGGAGCAUUUUACGAGGUGCUGCAUGGUUGUCGUCAGCUCGUGCCGUGAGGUGUCGGGUUAAGUCCCAUAACGAGCGCAACCCCUACCUUUAGUUGCCAACAGGUCAUGCUGGGGACUCUAAAGGAACUGCCUACGCAAGUAGUGAGGAAGGCGGGGAUGACGUCAAAUCAGCACGGCCCUUACGUCCAGGGCUACACACGUGCUACAAUGGCCGAUACAGAGGGCAGCUACCUGGUGACAGGAUGCAAAUCUCCAAAGUCGGUCUCAGUUCGGAUC